rnacentral:lncRNA from 1 species
UCAUACUCUACUGCACUUCCUUGAAGAUGAAAAAUAUGAAGAGGUUAUGGCUGUCCUUGGGAGUUUUCCAUAUGUGACCAUGAAUAUAAAAUCACAGGUGUUAGAUGAUGAAGACAGCAACAACAUCACAGUAGGAUCCUUAGUUACAGUGCUGGUUAAGUUGACAAGGCAAACAAUGGCUGAAGUAUUUGAAAAGGAGCAGUCCUUCUGUGCUGCAGAGGAACAGCCAGCAGAAGAUGGGCAGGGUGAAACUAACAAGAACAGGACAAAACGAGGAUGGCAACAGAAGAGUAAAGGACCCAAGAAAACUGCUAAAUCAAAAAAAAAGAAACCUUUAAAAAAAAAAACCUGCACCUGUGCUAUUACCACAGUCAAAGCAACAGAAACAAAAGCUGGCAAAUGGAGUUGUUGGGAAUGAAGCUGCAGUAAAGGAAGAUGAAGAAGAAGUUUCAGAUAAGGGCAGUGAUUCUGAAGAAGAAGAAACCAAUAGAGAUUCCUGAAGUGAGAAAGAUGAUGGUAGUGACAGAGACUCUGAUAGAGAGCAAGAUGAAAAACAAAACAAAGAUGAUGAAGCAGAGUGGCAAGAAUUACUACAAAGCAUACAGCAAGAAGAGAGCGCUCUAUUGGAAACCAAAUCAAAAAUAACACAUCCUGUGUAUAGCCUUUACUUUCCUGAGGAAAAACAAGAAUGGUGGUGGCUUUACAUUGCAGAUAGGAAGGAGCAGACAUUAAUAUCCAUGCCAUAUCAUGUGUGUACACUAAAAGAUACAGAGGAAGUAGAGCUGAAGUUUCCUGCACCAGGCAAGCCUGGAAAUUAUCAGUAUACUGUGUUUCUGAGAUCAGACUCCUAUAUGGGUUUGGAUCAGAUUAAACCAUUGAAGUUGGAAGUUCAUGAGGCCAAGCCUGUGCCAGAAAAUCACCCACAGUGGGAUACAGCAAUAGAGGGGGAUGAAGACCAGGAGGACAGUGAGGGCUUUGAAGAUAGCUUUGAGGAAGAAGAGGAGGAAGAGGAAGAUGAUGACUAAGCAGUACUCUGAAUGGACCAUAGUGUUUGCACAUAUUUGCAAUUUUUUGCUGUUUUGGAAGUUUAUCAUAAACCAGAAACAGUACAGAACUGAUGUUGAGGGAGGUGUAGUUUUUUUACUCUAGAAAUGGGUGCAUAAUAUAACUAGGCAGUGGCAGUGCCUUGGUACAACCUGAAAAAUGUUAAGGCU